ensembl:lncRNA
CAUUCCUAUUCUUUUUUUGACUAUUUUCAGUUUUUUUAAAUGCAAGAAUUACAUUCAUUAAAAUAUUUUCUGCUGUUUUUGCAGAAAAUGUGCACUGUUAUAAGACUGAAUGAAUUGAAGGGGAUAAAUGAGUGGGAGAGAGAGAGACAAUUAACAGGCAUCCACACAGAAGAAGGGAGGAGAUUCUAAGAGAACGACGCAGAAAGUAAAUAGAGUUGAAAAGUUGCCUUGAAAAAUGCAGCCAUUAUAUACUUCUUAUAUAAAAACUCAUUCACAUAGCUUAAUGACUAUAGUUUGAGGAUCAAUCAUAUCUAGCUGUGCCGCACAGUGGGGAGGUUCUAGAAGAGCUUCGGUAACAUACUGAGAGACUAAAUGAUUACUCACUGUUGAAAGUACUAGGCACAGCUUACACUUGGUUCACUUGUCUAGCCUUAUUUAAAUUAAGCUUUAAUAACAUCAGUGGAUAACAAGCUAAUCAUUUAUAAUGGGUUAUGAUUGUUCUUUUAUAAUACAUGCAUAAUUGAAUGCUUAUAAUUGUAGGGUUAUCACAUUGGAACACAUAAGUAUGUUAUAGUCAUUAACUGAAAAUGUUGCCAAAUGUGGACAUUUGAUUUGUUGUGACUAUUGAUUGUAAUGAAUGGUCCAUGAGUUUGAACAAGGACCAUGGAAAGAAGUUUGGUUGAUAACUUUCUUUCUUCUUAGUUACAUAAAAAUACUUCUCACUUUCGUUUUAAUGCAAUAAGUAUAAUAAUCAUUUAGUGGGACAUAAUGUCCUAUGGCGUGACACACAUAAAAGUACAAACAAAUGUUUUACCUUAAAGUACCUUAACAAACAGUUGGGUAUUACAUUAGGGGAGAUAUAAUCAUCACUCAUCUUAAAUUGGUAUAAGUUUCAACAGUUUUGAAAGGAUAGCAAAGUGAAUUUGAUCUUUCCUAGGAUUCAUUGGAUGAAACCGAUUCCAACCGGAAAGAAAGCCACUGGUGAACGUGCACGAGAGACAUAAGAUGAGGUGGACAGACUCUGGGUCAAACACAGGGAGAAAGAGAUCGUUAGAUGUCCAGCCAUGUGUCCUUCUGAAGAAAGACAAGAAGGGCACGUUUUUAUCUACAAAAGUGUUAAUGGUUGAAUAAAUGUUUCAGCAAAUAGUUGACCAUUCUAAUGGAAUAGUUUAUAUUGGCUGUAGGCUCUGUAGAUUAUUCUCCUGAGGUAUCCUUAAUGUAUGAGGCUGAGCAUUUACAUCUGAUGUGUAUUAAUAAAUGCAGAAUGUUCUAGAUCAGUCCUCAUUUAUCUCAUUAGUGUAUUACUGAGCAGACUGGUGCAGUGGAUGAUGGGGAGGACCACAUGAGUACUAGCCACCAUACUGCACCGUGAACCAGAGGAGGAUUAGCCACCAUACUGCACCGUGAACCAGAGGAGGAUUAGCCACCAUACUGCACCGUGAACCAGAGGAGGAUUAGCCACCAUACUGCACAGUGAACCAGAGGAGGAUUAGCCACCAUACUGCACAGUGAGGCCAGACUGCCAGAAGAUGGGGCCCAAUGUGGACAUCAUUCACUAACGCCUCAAGAAAGCACAGAAAUACUGAAGACACUAUAUUCAACAACAGACCACUGCAGAGGUCUGACAAGAACUCCCCUGCUUCUCUGUUCCAGUCUUGGUGAGUGUUGUAUCCAAUAUAUAACACAUGGUGAUUGAAAUGUAUUUUUAACAGCACACAGAGAAGAUGUUAAUGUACAUUGGUUUAGUAGAUAUGUAAUUGUGCACUUUGCAUGACUAAUUCAAAUACAUCUACUCUGCACAUGAAGUCGGACAAGCGUGUUCAAGGCCCAUGUUUCCACAAUGUGACGCACACUAGCCACUAAGCAACCUCAGGACCUGUGGCUCUUCACUGUGGGACUUUAAAUGUAAGGUGAAUGACUGUUUUGUCCUGAUCACAUUCCAGGGUAUGUGCAGAAUUGUUGAGAUUGUUUAGUAAUAUUGAUAAUACCAAAUGAUUGAAUAGAAUAAAUGAUCAAAUAUUCAAUAUUUGCUUCUGAAUGCUGAUAACGUGAACUGAUUUAAUCUGCAUGUUUUGUUCUAGCUAUGUGAAUAGGCAUGACACUUCUUAAGAAGAAAAGAAGAACAUGUGUGACUAGCUGUACAGUACUGGAUAAGACACUGCUUGAUACAGGGGGUUGAGGAAAGAUAAGAAACAGCUGCAGCUGAAUAAAUACUGCGUUUAGUUUCAUUGCACCUUACCUUUAGGUCAUGAAGCCACAUAUAGCUGCCAUAUUAUUUCAUAUUAAUUUAUUCCCUUAUUAAUUUCAGAUUUUAUUUAAUCUGUUUUAGGCCUUUAAACCACAUUAAGCUCAAUCGUUUUCAAUUCAUUUUCAACUGGAGAUCCUGCCAUAGUUUUUUUUACCAGGUUAUUGAUUUACCUUUAAAAUACCUUUAAAAUAUUCACCACAGUAUCUGCUUGUAUCCCUCUUAUGUCUGAGUUAAAGAGGGAUUUUUCUAUUUUGAUUUUAGGUCAUUAAGCCAUGAUAAAACCUCAUUACAUGAAUGCGGACAUACUCCUCCUUUUUCAAGGUAAAUACUCAGCUUCUUGUUAUAGAUAAGAUUAGUCAGUGUCUGUGAGGGGCAAUCUUGAAUUUUUUUCAUUUGAAAUAGAUAAAUGUGUGGUCAAAAUGCAUUGCCAGUUUCUGGAUUUGGAUUUUGGAUUUUAUGCUACCACCUAGUGGCCAAAAAAUGACACAACUCCCAUCAACUGGAAAAUAGCCAUACAACAGCCCUUUUCACAAACAUGGCUGCUGUAUUUCCUCAGGGUAUAGAUCAUUUCUCACCAUUGCCAGCGAUGUUAAAAAGCCAACUUUAUGUCGCCCAUAUCUCAGUCAGUGUCAGUGAUCGCUCUAGUUUCAACAUAAUGUCAAACAACAAUACAGCUGUUGUGUCCGACAUAUUUUGGAUAUAUUUUGUACCGCACAUGUAUUAAAAAAAGUUAUUUGAUCGAAGGUUACAAAAUACUAACAGUACAGAAAUUAGAGUUAUUCAGUUAACAUUUUGUGACCCUUGAUCACAAUUAUUUACGCACUAACAACAGAGUUCCAAAAAGAACCAAAAAGAACCAAAAAGAACCACAACAUUACUCCAUCCAGCAGGUGCAGCCAAGUCUUCUGCUGCCAUACGAUCACUCUAUGAGUGGGAAAAAACUACAUUUGAUCCAUUAUUUAAUGGAAAUCAAGUCUGCCUCCAACGUAUUUACUAAACUGAUGUAAAUUUAGAAAUAAUUAGAAAUUAACUGCACUUUCAAUAACAGGACAAAUGUCACUGGUUUGUGCAACAAAAAAAUGCAUCUAAUUCAUUAAGUAAUUUAAUAUAACUGGCAUUUUCUGUGCAACUAAGCAUAGCUGAAGGCUAUGAUUUGUAAACAUGACAAUAACGUCUUACUGUAUACAGCUUUAAGUCUCAAAUGUUUUUUUUUUAGGAACCCUUAAGCCCGACACCCACAAUCUUCUCAAGCAGCAGUGAUGACAAGCCCCUGGGUGACGAGACGGAUGACGCUGUCACAAUGGAGAGACACAAAGAUGGUGGACUAUGGAGAGGUACUCUUGUCUUUGGCCAAUGAUGGUGGACUAUGGAGAGGUACUCUUCUCUUUGGCCAAUGAUGGUGGACUAUGGAGAGGUACUCUUGUCUUUGGCCAAUGAUGGUGGACUAUGGGGAGGUACUCUUGUCUUUGGCCAAUGAUGGUGGACUAUGGAGAGGUACUCUUGUCUUUGGCCAAUGAUGGUGGACUAUGGAGAGGUACUCUUGUCUUUGGCCAAUGAUGGUGGACUAUGGAGAGGUACUCUUGUCUUUGGCCAAUGAUGGUGGACUAUGGAGAGGUACUCUUGUCUUUGGCCAUGGGUGUUGUGCUGGCCCUCUAUCAUGUCUACAACAUUGCAUCUCCCUGUCGGCUAAAGGAAACAUUUUCAUUUUUGUAGGCGUUUAUCUUGAACCUUGAUACUCUAACAACACGUGUACCUGUAGCUGUGCAGAAAGUUAAAAAUGCCCUGAAUAUUUCAUAAAAAUCAAUUUUGUAUGGUAUUAGGGGUUUAUGUACUCCUAAAAUAACUAAUAAUCUGUAAAAGUAUAAUUUUCACCUGGACAUGAUUUUUUAUCUCUACAAUUCCAUUCAUAUGCAAAAUAAAUGAAUUGAGAAUGAAACUGCUAUAUUCUUCCUUCCUUCCUUCAUCAGCCCUAACCUAGAACUCAAAAGCAUAGGGGUUUGCAUGCUUGUGCAAAUAGUAGCAGUAGAUUAUUUCUUUAUUUUUACCGUUGGCAGACAAAUCAUUUAUUUAGCCUUUGAAAAUAUAAAUUUAAAGCUUUAAUGUUAAAAAAUAGUGAUUGGGAAAUGAUGUGUAAGUAUCUUUUGUAAAUGUGAAAAUGGUGAUGAUUUCUUGGGGGGGUUGAAUACUUUUGCAAACCACUGGAUCUCCUGCAGAGGAGGUACCCCUGACUGGUGUGGCUUUAGCUUCUCCUUCACAAGCUGAAGUAAGAAAGAGUGGAAGAAGCAGCUACUCCUGUCCAUUCUAAGCCCUCUAACAUCAAAACACAUCAAAAUGCACAGAAGACACAGGAACUAUGCACCGUCAUAAAUGAGUCAUUGCGGUAGGUCUGUAACAACAACAU